GUGCAGCACAUAUACUAAAAUUGGAAUGAUAUAGAGAUUAGCAUGGCCUUUGCACAAGGACGAUGUGCAAAUUCAUGAAGUGUUCCAUAUUUUU
rnacentral:snRNA from 2 species